rnacentral:rRNA from 1 species
AGCGAACGCUGGCGGCAGGCCUAAUACAUGCAAGUCGAACGGCUCUUCGGAGCAGUGGCGGACGGGUGAGUAACGCGUGGGAAUGUGCCCUUAGGUACGGAACAACACAGGGAAACUUGUGCUAAUACCGUAUGUGCCCUUCGGGGGAAAGAUUUAUCGCCUUUGGAGCAGCCCGCGUUGGAUUAGGUAGUGGGUGCGGUAAAGGCUCACCAAGCCGACGAUCCAUAGCUGGUCUGAGAGGAUGACCAGCCACACUGGGACUGAGACACGGCCCAGACUCCUACGGGAGGCAGCAGUAGGGAAUCUUGCGCAAUGGGCGAAAGCCUGACGCAGCCAUGCCGCGUGUAUGAUGAAGGUCUUAGGAUUGUAAAAUACUUUCACCGGGGAAGAUAAUGACGGUACCCGGAGAAGAAGCCCCGGCUAACUUCGUGCCAGCAGCCGCCGUAAAAC